GUGUCAACAUUGAGGAGUGUUUUAGCCUUGAGACAUCUCUGCAGGAGAAAUGAAAGCUGCUACGGCUCUCAGGAAGUCUUCAGCCCAUGGUACAACAGCCCGAACUGAAUCUCAGCCUGUCUGAAAAAUAUGUGCCGUUUUUUUCAGUGCAUCCUUUUAUGUGUUACCAGUUUUUCGAGCAUUGUUUGGAGCGUUCACUUCGAGUUGUUGCCUUCAAGUUGUGACAUUUUUCGUCUCAAUCCCACACCCUUCGAUCGCUUUCAAAAACAGGAAACAAACACGACCCAGAAUAUUGUGGUUUUAAAUGUGUUGCAAGAAACAAUGAUGCUGCUUGAUGGAAAUAGCAGGAAUUUAGCAAGACCAAGUUAACCUGCUUAUCAACCCUCUCAGUUAACAUAGUGGAACUGGAAGCCUAGGGAGGCCUAUCAUCAGUCUCAGGGUGUGGAGACAAAGUCACCCACUACAAUGUUAUUAUUUUUACUGCAUCUGUCCUACAUACCAGAUUCAAGAGACGUUAAUGGAAAAGUCAGCAGAAUGAACGAGGAGCACGAGGAUAAGUAGCAGUGACAGGAAACUGACUCUGAACACACCAGCAAACGGAGGUAAUGCAUUGCGCAAGAAUGCAUGUGACCAGGUAAAUACUGUCAAACAUGCCAGUCGCUCGUCGCAGACUGUUACGUCACACCUCGUUUCAAGGUUGUUUUAAACAACCAUAUUAAAAAUCUGAAAGUGACAUUGAACAUUUCAUUUUACAGCACAUGGCUACAGCCGGGGGGGCUAAAUUCUCGCUGAUGAACUGCCGGCACUGCACCUUUUCUUCAGCAACAAUCUCUUUUGAAUUACUUUCUUCCCCCCCAAACCUCACCCCACCCUUCUUAAGUGACACCCAUUAAUCACAUUAGGUCUUUGGAAGAAUUGUCUGCAGAGCGUCAAGUCUUGGCUGACCCCAGCAUUUGGAGAGUGAAGAUAAAGACAUUGCACUGACAGCUCUGAAAUGGCCCCUUUUUCGCGGGUCAGCGUUCAGGGGAAUAUGAAUAUUAUUAUACAUAAAAAGAGGGGGAAAACAAUUGAGUUUUUACUUCAGAGGAAGUAAAUGACAUUGGGAAUUCUCAGUCUUUCUGCUGCUAUAGAUAGAUUGCCGGGGUAGGAUUCAAAUUAGCAAAGUUUUCAGAAAGCUCUGCGUAUUGAUUUAAUAUGUGCUUCCCAAAUAUAUGAGGGCAAAGAGCUCAUCAUUAAAGGAGUCCUCCCUAAUGUUACGGCUGUAUUACUUAGUCUCUAUUUUUUGCUAUCUGGAAACCAAACAUAUCCUGACAUAUAGGCUAAUAAAAUACUCUGGGAGUCGGUGGCGAUUGUCUUUAAUAUUGGAUUCCUUAAUUUCUGAAAGCAUUGAAUAUUAUGGCGCUCUUUGUGAGUCUACAUUCCAAUCAAAAUGUCUCUCUGAAUAAGAACUAAAAUCAUUGCCCUUAAUGUCACGAAACAUUAUCAGCUCUGUGGUUUGGUACAAUGGAGCCAUUGUGUUCAGCGGUGAGGGGAGCUUAUCAGUGAAAGACAGCAAAGGAGAAAGGGACGGAGGAAAUG